AGCUUGCAGUUCUCAGUCCCCUCCCUCUGCCUUCCAAAGAGAGCCGACCAGGCUCCGAGGAAGAGGAUGUCCUUGGGCUGUCAGCCGACGAUUCUCCCUGGCGCUUGGGAGUAAGUGCCACUGGCGAUGUCUGGGCCCGUCCUCAUGCCAUCAGCGGGGCUUGACGUGCUGGGGACACUGCUGGUCCCUCAGCUGCCCAGGGCAGGAAGUGGCCGUGGCCACGGUGGUUCCGGGCACUAAGGAGGGACCUGUGCGGGCUCACCCGCUCGCAGCCUCAUGAAGGAGGUGGGGGCAGUACCGUGGAAAGAGGGGCCGCCUUCAGGGCACCACCUGUCCCCUAAAUAGGACAGUGCUGUGACCCUACAUGAGCCUCUGUGCUGCACGGGGCAGGCGAGGCCUGAGGCUCAGGCUCCGGUACUCCCCAGGGGCUCUCUCCCCCAGGAGCUCCUGCCUGGAGGCCUCUCCCUCGAGGGUCCCCAGCUUAAGCAAGGUUCUGCCCUGCCCCCCUUGCACACCAGAUGAGGUGAUGUUGAGUGUGACCUGGUGACAGACUCGGUGGGAGGGAACAGCUGUGGACAGACGCUUAGCCCCGACGCCCCAGAUGUGAGGCACCUUCCCUGUCUCUGCGGGUUCCAGACUCGGAGAGGAAGGCCCUUCCUGCUCCCUCUCAUUGAGACCAUGGCCCCAGUGUGCAGCCUGCGCUCUCUGUCCCAGGAGACAAUGGCCGACCCCCCCAGGGACUGACUUUAGGGAGCCACUGUCUGACUAAGGUCCAGCAGAAUGACAGAGGACACUCCAGAAUUUGAGGGGCUCUUUCCAGUGAGAACUGGGGUAAAGAACGAGCACCUGUACCCACUGCCUUUCUGGCAAUUUCCUCUUCUCAAAGCCACAGAACAAGAGGUCGUUUACCCUUCCAGAAGUUUCUGUAUGAGGCUGGAAGUCAGAUCAGCUUAAGGAGCACUUAUUGGGCACCAACUGCGUGCUGUGUGACACCCGUCAGCCCAGGCAGUGGCUGCCUAUCCUGGUGCCCGAGUGCGCACAAACAGUGCAGAGAGCACAGCCCCGGCAAGAACAGGGCGAGAGGAGCGAAUGGAGGUGGGGCCGCAGGUGCACCACCCACGACAGCCUGUAAGCACCCCCCGGGUUUCCUUGGCAGUAUUUUUCUGGAGAACCGCUCGCUUACGUGUCCCGGCAGGUCCUUCCUGCGAAGCCCUGCCGUGCGUUCUUACCGCGUUAUUUCACACCGGCUGCUUUCUCCCCAGACGUUUGCCCAGAGACCAGAGGAAAGACACCGCAACCCGGCUUGCCCUCCACAUGCGUCGUCCUCACUCUGCAGAGCAGCAUUCCCGGCCGGCCGGCCCUCCGGCUCCCCUGCUCCGGGGUCCAGGCAGGGCCCCCUUCAGUGCUCUCCCUGCCCUGCUCUGCCUUCCUCAGCGACACGCAGCGUCCCCAGGACGGCGCCUGUGAAGACUAACCACAGACCAUGGAUAUCAGCCCGACCUCUGACCUCCAGGAGGGAACAGAGUUCAGUCAGGAGCCGGUGGUUCAAUCAGUCAUGUCCAUGUAAUAAACCCAGACAAAAACCCGAUUCCAGGGAGGCCCCCCCCCCCCCCAGUACACCUCUUCCUUCGGCCCUUCCCGAGCAGCAUCCUGUGUCAUCAAAUUGUAACUGUGGGCACACGGUAUGUUACCAGUUCCCGAACAGGUCACGGGAACCCCAGAGUCCCAGCUGUCUGUCCAGAAGUGUGGGAGGCCUGGGCACCCGAGCGUGGGGCUGGCGUGUGCCCUGCCCGCGUGCUGUUGGCCUGAGGCUGCAUCGGCGGCCGGGUGCCAGGCCUGUGUGCCAGUGUUCCCAGCGGGUACCUCGAGUUGCUAAGAAAGCAGAGGCUGGGAGAGGAGACAAGGCCAGCAGCAGGUUCGCAUCUGGUUUGUGUACAAGGGCACACACACAGAGUGAGGGUUCCCACCUCGUCCCCGCGUGACACAGACACGGGAGAGUGGGGGGAGGGAAACAGGGCCACGGGCUGGCACGGCAUCCCGGCUGCGGCACAGGAGGCCUCCCUCCCGGCAGGCACACGGCGCCCGCUUUGGUUCCUCCCCCAGGUUUCCCAAGCAGGUGGCAGCGGCGUGUGGGCUCCUGCUCUGGGCUGCGGCCGUGACACCCGUCAGUCCUUUCACUGCCCUUGAUGUUGGCAGAUGUGUCAGGGGGGCUCUACCUCUGACAGGUGCCCAUGGGUGCAGCUGAUGUGUGAACCUCGGACUGCAGAGAAAUGGCCCGCGGCUGUGUCUGCCCGAGCUGUUUAUCAGGGUCCCCGAGAGCCUGCCGGGAAGCCGGCUCCGAGCCCCGUCCAGCGCCAUGUGGCGCUCGGCUGCCCGGCUGGCGCCAGGGAGACGCGCAGGGCGUAAUCACUGCCAUCACGAGGGCCGUCGGCGGGCCAAACCUCCACUCUGCGCCGUGAGCGGCAGGCAGGCCCGACAAGGAGCCGUGAGAGAGAAGGCCUGGCCCCGAGGCGUGAGAGCAGCUGCUUCUCCGGGAAGUGGGGGCCCGGGCACGCCCCGGGGGCAAGGGGACAGCGCUGGCGUCAGAAGGCCUGGAGGCGCCGGGCACUGAAACCUGCUGCUGUCGUCCCCCGCUGGUCCUGCACCCGCGGCGGGGAGGGAGGGACGGCGGGGAUGCCUAAUGCAGUUCUGGACUUAACCAAUUAAGACAGAAAACCCUGUAAUAAUCAUGGCCGACCACUUGGAUAGACCAGUCAACAUGAAAAGAAGAGCCUGUACUGAAACGCAGACCCUCACUCACGGUGGUGAUGAGCACAGACAGGGAAGGCGAUGGGCGGGGUGGGGUGGGGGGGCGCGGCAGAGCCACCAGGGUGGUGUGAGGAUGGGCAUUAUUAUUCUUGUGGUGUGUGCUGCCCUGACAACCGUCCUCCACCCCAGAUCUAAUCUCACGUGUGCCAUUUUCCACUCUGUCCCCUUUCCCUG
ensembl:lncRNA